AGCAGCCGCGGUAAUUCCAGCUCCAAUAGCGUAUAUUAAAGUUGUUGCAGUUAAAAAGCUCGUAGUUGAAUUUCGGGAUUAGUAGGUUGGUCGUGCCUCUGGUAUGUACUCGCCCUACUGACUCCUCCUUCUUGAAGAACUGUAAUGCCAUUAAUUUGGUGUUGCAGGGAAACAGGACUGUUACUUUGAAAAAAUUAGAGUGUUUAAAGCAGGCCAUUGCCUGAAUACAUUAGCAUGGAAUAAUGAAAUAGGACGUUGAUCCUAUUUUGUUGGUUUCUAGGAUUGACGUAAUGAUUAAUAGGGAUAGUUGGGGGCAUUAGUAUUCAAUUGUCAGAGGUGAAAUUCUUGGAUUUAUUGAAGACUAACUACUGCGAAAGCAUUUGCCAAGGAUGUUUUCAUUAAUCAAGAACGAAAGUUAGGGGAUCGAAGACGAUCAGAUACCGUCGUAGUCUUAACCAUAAACUAUGCCGACUAGGGAUCGGAUGAUGUUAAUUUUUAAUGACUCAUUCGGCGCCUUAAC
rnacentral:rRNA from 1 species